AUUGAACGCUGGCGGCAGGCCUAACACAUGCACGUCGAACGAGUGGCGGACGGGUGAGUAAUGUCUGGGAAACUGCCUGAUAGAGGGGGAUAACUACUGGAAACAGUAGCUAAUACCGCAUACUAUCGGAUGUGCCCAGAUGGGAUUAGAUAGUAGGUGGGGUAAAGGCUCACCUAGGCGACGAUCCCUAGCUGGUCUAGGUGGAUGACCAGCCACACUGGAACUGAGACACGGCCCAGACUCCUACGAGAGGCAGCAGUGGGGAAGAUUGCACAAUGGGCGCAAGCCUGAUGCAGCCAUGCCGCGUGUAUGAAGAAGGCCUGCGGGUUGUAAAGUACUUUCAGCGGGGAGGCGUUACCCGCAGAAGAAGCACCGGCUAACUCCGUGCCAGCAGCCGCGGUAAUAC
rnacentral:rRNA from 1 species